GCAGACCGGCGGCGGGGUGACUCCUGUUUCUUCGGGGGCGACGGCCAAUGUCCCGCUGAUUAACUUGUCGGCCUUGUGGAGGGGCAUCGCCAACAUCAAACCGUGAGCAGGGGGCCAUGGCCGUGGCUAGGGCCGUGGCCGAAGUCCUGGUUCCCAGAG